rnacentral:rRNA from 1 species
CGGGUGAGUAAUGUCUGGGAAACUGCCUGAUGGAGGGGGAUAACUACUGGAAACGGUAGCUAAUACCGCAUAACGUCGCAAGACCGAAGAGGGGGACCUUCGGGCCUCUUGCCAUCGGAUGUGCCCAGAUGGGAUUAGCUAGUAGGUGGGGUAAUGGCUCACCUAGGCGACGAUCCCUAGCUGGUCUGAGAGGAUGACCAGCCACACUGGAACUGAGACACGGUCCAG